rnacentral:rRNA from 1 species
ACAACUUACAGCGACAGAUGUCUUGGCUCGAACGACGAUGAAGGGUGCAGCGAAGUGCGAUAAGCAUUGUGACUUGCAGAAUUCCGUGAACCAACAGGAGUUUGAACGCAUACUGCGCUCUCGGGACAUCCCUGAGAGCAUGCCUGCUUCAGCGUCUAC